rnacentral:rRNA from 1 species
AUUGAACGCUGGCGGCAGGCUUAACACAUGCAAGUCGAGCGGGGGAAGGUAGCUUGCUACUGGACCUAGCGGCGGACGGGUGAGUAAUGCUUAGGAAUCUGCCUAUUAGUGGGGGACAACAUCUCGAAAGGGAUGCUAAUACCGCAUACGUCCUACGGGAGAAAGCAGGGGAUCUUCGGACCUUGCGCUAAUAGAUGAGCCUAAGUCGGAUUAGCUAGUUGGUGGGGUAAAGGCCUACCAAGGCGACGAUCUGUAGCGGGUCUGAGAGGAUGAUCCGCCACACGGGGACGGAGACACGGCCCAGACUCCUACGGGAGGUAGCAGUGGUGAAUAUUGGACAAUGGGGGGAACCCUGAUCCAGCCAUGCCGCUUGUGUGAAGAAGGCCUUAUGGUUGUAAAGCACUUUAAGCGAGGAGGAGGCUACUCUAGUUAAUACCUAGGGAUAGUGGACGUUACUCGCAGAAUAAGCACCGGCUAACUCUGUGCCAGCCGCCGCCGUAA